rnacentral:rRNA from 1 species
UACGGAGGGUGCGAGCGUUGUCCGGAAUCAUUGGGCGUAAAGAGCGUGUAGGCGGCUUGUUAAGUCUUGCGUGAAAUCUCGGGGCUCAACCCCGAGCGGUCGUGAGAAACUGGCAGGCUAGAGUGCGGGAGAGGAGAGUGGAAUUCCUGGUGUAGCGGUGAAAUGCGCAGAUAUCAGGAAGAACACCCGUGGCGAAGGCGGCUCUCUGGAACGCAACUGACGCUGAGACGCGAAAGCGUGGGGAGCAAACAGG